CCCGUGAGGACGCCCUUUACCCCUACCCCAGGCUUAGGAGCUGGUAUCAGGCGCAACUUUUACGCCCAUAACACCUAGUCCCACCACACCCCCAAGGGUACUCAGCAGUGAUAAACAUUGUCUAUGAGCGCCAGCUUGACCCAGUUAUAAAGAAGAGGGCCGGCCAACUUGGUGCCAGCCGCCGCGGCUAGACCAACUGGACUCAAAUUGAUAAUUCCCGGCGUUAAGCGUGAUUAAAGCCAUACACCAAUUAGAGUUAAACCUAUGUUGAGCAGUGAAAAGCACACGAUAGGGAAACCCAGAAACGAAAGUUACUCUAAUCUCUGCUUGAAUACACGACAGCUAGAAAACAAACUGGGAUU
rnacentral:rRNA from 1 species